ACUCCUGCGGGAGGCAGCAGUGAGGAAUAUUGGACAAUGGGUGGAAGCCUGAUCCAGCCAUCCCGCGUGCAGGAAGACGGCCCUAUGGGUUGUAAACUGCUUUUAUCUGGGGAUAAACCUACUUACGUGUAAGUAGCUGAAGGUACCAGAAGAAUAAGCACCGGCUAACUCCGUGCCAGCAGCCGCGGUAAUACGGAGGGUGCAAGCGUUAUCCGGAUUUAUUGGGUUUAAAGGGUCCGUAGGCGGACUGAUAAGUCAGUGGUGAAAUCCGACAGCUUAACUGUCGAACUGCCAUUGAUACUGUUAGUCUUGAGUAAGGUUGAAGUGGCUGGAAUAAGUAGUGUAGCGGUGAAAUGCAUAGAUAUUACUUAGAACACCAAUUGCGAAGGCAGGUCACUAAGUCUUAACUGACGCUGAUGGACGAAAGCGUGGGGAGCGAACAGGAUUAGAAACCCGGGUAGUCCCA
rnacentral:rRNA from 1 species